GCUCAACCUUUUUAUAAGUGCUCCUUGACCACUCAUGCUUUUGUUGACCUUCCUCUCUCUGAACUCCUAGCCCAGAACAUGGAUUAGCACUGGGUUCUUUUCUUUCUGGGGGAGUUUGCCAUUUGUUUUGUGAGAAUUCUCAUCUUGGCUCCUCCAGUUUCUUGAGGAUCACUGAAGGUGGAGACCCUAGUCCAUUCCUCCUCCAUCUGAAAGGGCUUCCCGGCAACUGACAACACUUGCUGUGGGAUUCACAGGCAGGGGUAAAAGUUUCUAUCAAGGUACUAAAUAAGGGACCAUUUGUGACCCCUGCUGGAGACGUGUGUGGAAAGGACUGUCUGGUGGCCUGGCAUUUCUGGAACUGUCUGGUCUGCUUCUUAAAGAUGGUCUUCUUUCACUCAGCACAACCUGUUGGUUGCAGAUCUGGUCAGGAUGGAACUGGCAAGUGCCAAGGGGCGCUGAAUUACCACAAAUGAUUAUGCUCCAUGUAGAAACAACAGGCUAAGAGAGUCUCCUGAGAAAGGCUGUGCUAUGAGAUAACCAGCCCCACUUGGAGAAGAUUUGGAAAAAUACAAACAAAAAAAAACCUUUCCAAGUGCAUAUCUGGACCAAACACCUGAAUGACUGUAGGUAAAUCCUUUACUAAAUGAAACUACUCAAGCCUGGAUAUGAAUGAUAGCAUAUACUCCAAGGAGCAUCCACUCUUGAAUGGUUAUACUUCUGAAGAAGCUAUUUAAGAUAAAAACCAUUAAAGUCACAGGACAAAGGACUAUUCCUCUGAGUUAAAUAGCUGCAUCCUCUGGAGGGAGAAUUCCACUUCCUCUGCCAACCAGGAGCUCUGCCGGCAGCUGUAUUUGAGAAGAACAUGCCUAUCAACUCGUGAUGCAUGGCCUUUCUUCUGUUCUCCAAAUAGAGAGUCUAUUUUGUUGGUACUGAUAUCCGCCAUUAACAAAACUUGGCUUAGUUUCAAAAAUGUAGCUCCUCUAUGAAUUCUUGAACUUAACAAAGCAAUGAUUCUCUAUUUUUGUGUUAAUAGUAUGUUUGCCCAAAUUUAAUGGAUCACCUUUUCAUUUUUAUGUAAUUUUCUCCUUUAUUGCAUUUCUGUUCAGGGCCUUCCAACUGAAAUUAGUCACAUCUUAUGGUCCAGGUUGGUUGGGCACAACUAAACCUACAUAAAUCUCAGUUGGGUCCCCCACAUGAGGUCUGAGAAAAUAUUUUAGGAGAUAGGGUUGUGGGCCUUUGUACAUCUGUGCUCAGUGACAUUUAAAUCAGCUGAUAAUUUCAAUUUUGGAAACUACUGUUCAUUAACAUGAAACAAAAGCAAUUACAUUUUUGGAUAUCUCUACUUAUGCUCAUGAUUUUCACAAAUGUUUAUGAAGAGUGGCAUGAUUUAAAAAUACCAUAAAAUUGGCCAUAUUAAAGAAAUUUUGCAUUUGCU